rnacentral:rRNA from 1 species
ACAGGGUGACAGCCCCGUACACAAAAGCGCAUGUGUUGUGAGCUCGAUGAGUAGGGCGGGACACGUGGUAUCCUGUCUGAAUAUGGGGGGACCAUCCUCCAAGGCUAAAUACUCCUGACUGACCGAUAGUGAACCAGUACCGUGAGGGAAAGGCGAAAAGAACCCCGGCGAGGGGAGUGAAAAAGAACCUGAAACCGUGUACGUACAAGCAGUGGGAGCACCCUUCGGGGUGUGACUGCGUACCUUUUGUAUAAUGGGUCAGCGACUUAUAUUCUGUAGCAAGGUUAACCGAAUAGGGGAGCCGGAGGGAAACCGAGUCUUAAUUGGGCGUUAAGUUGCAGGGUAUAGACCCGAAACCCGGUGAUCUAGCCAUGGGCAGGUUGAAGGUUGGGUAACACUAACUGGAGGACCGAACCGACUAAUGUUGAAAAAUUAGCGGAUGACCUGUGGCUGGGGGUGAAAGGCCAAUCAAACCGGGAGAUAGCUGGUUCUCCCCGAAAGCUAUUUAGGUAGCGCCUCGUGAAUUCAUCUCCGGGGGUAGAGCACUGUUUCGGCUAGGGGGCCAUCCCGGCUUACCAACCCGAUGCAAACUGCGAAUACCGGAGAAUGUUAUCACGGGAGACACACGGCGGGUGCUAACGUCCGUCGUGAAGAGGGAAACAACCCAGACCGCCAGCUAAGGUCCCAAAGUCAUGGUUAAGUGGGAAACGAUGUGGGAAGGCCCAGACAGCCAGGAUGUUGGCUUAGAAGCAGCCAUCAUUUAAAGAAAGCGUAAUAGCUCACUGGUCGAGUCGGCCUGCGCGGAAGAUGUAACGGGGCUAAACCAUGCACCGAAGCUGCGGCAGCGACACUGUGUGUUGUUGGGUAGGGGAGCGUUCUGUAAGCCUGUGAAGGUGUGUCGUGAGGCAUGCUGGAGGUAUCAGAAGUGCGAAUGCUGACAUAAGUAACGAUAAAGCGGGUGAAAAGCCCGCUCGCCGGAAGACCAAGGGUUCCUGUCCAACGUUAAUCGGGGCAGGGUGAGUCGACCCCUAAGGCGAGGCCGAAAGGCGUAGUCGAUGGGAAACGGGUUAAUAUUCCCGUACUUGGUGUUACUGCGAAGGGGGGACGGAGAAGGCUAUGUUGGCCGGGCGACGGUUGUCCCGGUUUAAGCGUGUAGGUGUGUGUUCCAGGUAAAUCCGGUUCACUUUAACACUGAGGCGUGACGACGAGGCACUACGGUGCUGAAGCAACAAAUGCCCUGCUUCCAGGAAAAGCCUCUAAGCAUCAGGUAACAUCAAAUCGUACCCCAAACCGACACAGGUGGUCAGGUAGAGAAUACCAAGGCGCUUGAGAGAACUCGGGUGAAGGAACUAGGCAAAAUGGUGCCGUAACUUCGGGAGAAGGCACGCUGACACGUAGGUGAAGUGAUUUACUCAUGGAGCUGAAGUCAGUCGAAGAUACCAGCUGGCUGCAACUGUUUAUUAAAAACACAGCACUGUGCAAACACGAAAGUGGACGUAUACGGUGUGACGCCUGCCCGGUGCCGGAAGGUUAAUUGAUGGGGUCAGCGCAAGCGAAGCUCCUGAUCGAAGCCCCGGUAAACGGCGGCCGUAACUAUAACGGUCCUAAGGUAGCGAAAUUCCUUGUCGGGUAAGUUCCGACCUGCACGAAUGGCGUAAUGAUGGCCAGGCUGUCUCCACCCGAGACUCAGUGAAAUUGAACUCGCUGUGAAGAUGCAGUGUACCCGCGGCAAGACGGAAAGACCCCGUGAACCUUUACUAUAGCUUGACACUGAACAUUGAGCCUUGAUGUGUAGGAUAGGUGGGAGGCUUUGAAGCGUGGACGCCAGUCUGCGUGGAGCCGACCUUGAAAUACCACCCUUUAAUGUUUGAUGUUCUAACGUGGACCCGUGAUCCGGGUUGCGGACAGUGUCUGGUGGGUAGUUUGACUGGGGCGGUCUCCUCCUAAAGAGUAACGGAGGAGCACGAAGGUUGGCUAAUCCUGGUCGGACAUCAGGAGGUUAGUGCAAUGGCAUAAGCCAGCUUGACUGCGAGCGUGACGGCGCGAGCAGGUGCGAAAGCAGGUCAUAGUGAUCCGGUGGUUCUGAAUGGAAGGGCCAUCGCUCAACGGAUAAAAGGUACUCCGGGGAUAACAGGCUGAUACCGCCCAAGAGUUCAUAUCGACGGCGGUGUUUGGCACCUCGAUGUCGGCUCAUCACAUCCUGGGGCUGAAGUAGGUCCCAAGGGUAUGGCUGUUCGCCAUUUAAAGUGGUACGCGAGCUGGGUUUAGAACGUCGUGAGACAGUUCGGUCCCUAUCUGCCGUGGGCGCUGGAGAACUGAGGGGGGCUGCUCCUAGUACGAGAGGACCGGAGUGGACGCAUCACUGGUGUUCGGGUUGUCAUGCCAAUGGCACUGCCCGGUAGCUAAAUGCGGAAGAGAUAAGUGCUGAAAGCAUCUAAGCACGAAACUUGCCCCGAGAUGAGUUCUCCC